GUGGGGAAUAUUGGACAAUGGGCGCAAGCCUGAUCCAGCCAUACCGCGUGGGUGAAGAAGGCCUUCGGGUUGUAAAGCCCUUUUGUUGGGAAAGAAAUCCAGCUGGCUAAUACCCGGUUGGGAUGACGGUACCCAAAGAAUAAGCACCGGCUAACUUCGUGCCAGCAGCCGCGGUAAUACGAAGGGUGCAAGCGUUACUCGGAAUUACUGGGCGUAAAGCGUGCGUAGGUGGUCGUUUAAGUCCGUUGUGAAAGCCCUGGGCUCAACCUGGGAACUGCAGUGGAUACUGGGCGACUAGAAUGUGGUAGAGGGUAGCGGAAUUCCUGGUGUAGCAGUGAAAUGCGUAGAGAUCAGGAGGAACAUCCAUGGCGAAGGCAGCUACCUGGACCAACAUUGACACUGAGGCACGAAAGCGUGGGGAGCAAACAGGAUUAGAAACCCUAGUAGUCC
rnacentral:rRNA from 1 species